GUCCCUGUAGCGUAAUAAAUAUCGCGUUGGACUUCUAAUCGAAGAGUCGUGGGCUCGAAUCCUACCUGGGAUG